rnacentral:rRNA from 1 species
UACGUAGGGUGCAAGCGUUAAUCGGAAUUACUGGGCGUAAAGCGUGCGCAGGCGGUUUUGUAAGUUUGUCGUGAAAGCCCCGGGCUCAACCUGGGAAUUGCAUUCGAGACUGAAUAGCUAGGGUGCGGUAGAGGGAAGUGGAAUUUCCGGUGUAGCGGUGAAAUGCGUAGAUAUCGGAAGGAACAUCAGUGGCGAAAGCGACUUCCUGGACCAGUACCGACGUUCAGGCACGAAAGCGUGGGGAGCAAACAGG